GCACACGCGUCGAUGGGAUGGGGCUGUGGCCACCCUGACGUCUCCCGUGGCCUGGGAGGGUCAGAGCUGGGCUGCAGCGAGGAGGGAAGGACGAAGGAGACUGACCUGCUCCCUGCAACCCCCCUCUGAAGGGGCUCGGCUUUCUCUGCAGCGAGAUCCCUGGUCUGGGCUCAGACUGCCGAGAAAAGCGCAGAGUGGCGAGAAAGAGCUGUGAGAAAACCUGUAAGCAAGUUUUCCAUUUCAAUUUUCCAGUCUAAAAGUAAGAAAAAAAAAGAAACCAUCACCUUUGCUGUCAGUGCUGUGUAUGGGGUCGCCUGAACCGGCAGGCUGGAAAACCAUCUUUGAAUGUAAAAUGGUGAAAAUUGGAGAGAAGAUGGCUGCCAUCGGAGAGGGCUGCUGUUAUUCACCCAGAUGUUUUAUGUCCCACCACCCCGAGUCCUGGCAGGGAGCAGAGUGGUAACCCUCGCUUGAGCUCUGCCGCCGUGGCACCACCGCACCGUAUCAGCGGGUGAGCCACCAAUCCUUAAGUGCUCAGAAGUCAAACGCUAAAACUUGGGAUGACCAGAAGACAGCUUCCUGUGAAGAAUGCAAGAACAAGAUAUAUCUGAAGUCUAUACGCAAUAGAUAAAAAUAUUUGCUCAGAAGCAGGAGUUUUGUGGGUUUUGUCAUGGUGUAAGAAUAAAUGACUACGAGUAUGAGCA